rnacentral:tRNA from 1 species
GUUUUUGUAGUUGAAAUACAACGAUGGUUUUUCAUAUCAUUGGUCGUGGUUAAAACCCAUGUAAAAAUG